UGAAAUGCGAAAAGUAAUGCGAUUUGCAUGAAUCUGUGAGUCAUCAAGUCUUUGAACGCACCUUGCACCGUAUGAGCAAUUGUACGGUAUACCUGUUUGAGAAUCGUAUCCAUCUUCCCCUAGCUAGUGAUAGUGUGGGGAGAGUUGUUGGCUUUGGAUGCGCGCAAGCGUGUCCAAUCCGAUUAAAUGCAGUAGGGUCUAGUCAGGCUGGUGGCCGGAGACACUGUGUGCUAGAGACAGCGACUUUCCUGAUAACAAAGGGGGGGUCCAGUCUUCUCACGGUGCGUCUCUGGUCUACAUAGCCGGUCUGACGGCGGUCCUCAAUGGAGAAAGGCAAGUGUGUGCGUCGUCAUGACGUGCUGCGGCCUUUUCCACCAUCUCAUUGAUCUCAAAUCAGGUA
rnacentral:misc_RNA from 1 species